AUGAAUCAAGAUGUUGGAAAUCAACAAGAAGAACAAGAAUUUGACAAUCCCUCUUAUGGUUAUAAUAAAGACAACCAUUAUUUGGUGGUAUGGUCAUGGAGUGGAGAAAUGACUUAUCUAAAAAAGUCACAAAAACAUUUAACAAAAACAUUUAAUAUUGCUUGUGGAUCAACACCAUUUAGAUUGAUCAGUACUAUAAAGAAUUGA